rnacentral:rRNA from 1 species
GGGGAAUUUUCCGCAAUGGGCGAAAGCCUGACGGAGCGACACAGCGUGGUGGAUGAAGUCCGUUAGGACGUAAACACCUUUUAUGAAGGAAGAAGUAUAUUGACAUUACUUCAUGAAUAAGGGGCUCCCAACUCUGUGCCAGCAGGAGCGGUAAUACAGAGGCCCCAAGCGUUACCCGGAAUCAUUGGGCGUAAAGGAUGCGUAGGUGGUUAUAUUAGUCUGAUGUUAAAACUCUGGGCUCAACCCAGAGAUCGCAUUGGAAACGGUAUAACUAGAGGAAAUGAGAGGUGUGUGGAACUCAAGGUGUAGGGGUGAAAUCCGUUGAUAUCUUGGGGAACACCAAAAGCGAAGGCAACACACUGGCAUUUUCCUGACACUGAGGCAUGAAAGCGUAGGUAGCGAAUGGGAUUAGAUACCCCAGUAGUC